rnacentral:rRNA from 1 species
GACGAACCGUGCGAACGUUGUUCGGAUUCACUGGGCUUAAAGGGCGCGUAGGCGGGCCAUCAAGUCUGGGGUGAAAUCUUUCGGCUCAACCGGAAAAGUGCCUUGGAUACUGGUGGUCUUGAGGGAGGUAGGGGCAUGCGGAACUUCCGGUGGAGCGGUGAAAUGCGUAGAUAUCGGAAGGAACGCCGGUGGCGAAAGCGGCGUGCUGGACCUCUUCUGACGCUGAGGCGCGAAAGCCAGGGGAGCAAACGGG